rnacentral:rRNA from 1 species
GAUGAACGCUGGCGGCGUGCCUAAUACAUGCAAGUAGAACGCUGAAGGAGGAGCUUGCUCUUCUGGAUGAUUUGCGAACGGGUGAGUAACGCGUAUGUAACCUGCCUGGUAGCGGGGGAUAACUAUUGGAAACGAUAGCUAAUACCGCAUGACAACAGUUAUUGCAUGAUAACUGUUUAAAAGGGGCAACUGCUCCACUACCAGAUGGACCUGCGUCGUCUUAUCUAUUUGGUUAGGUAACGGCUCACCAAGGCGACGAUACAUAGCCGACCUGAGAGGGUGAUCGGCCAAACUGGGAAUUAGACAAGGCUCAGACUCCUAAGGGAGGGAGCCGUAGGGAAUCUUCGGCAAUGGACGGAAGUCUGACCGAGCAAAGCCGCGUGAGUGAAGAAGGUUUUCGGAUCGUAAAGCUCUGUUGUAAGAGAAGAAAGAGUGUGAUAGUGGAAAGUUCACAUUUUGACGGUAUCUUAUCAGAAAGGGACGGCUAACUACGUG